rnacentral:rRNA from 1 species
UCCUACGGGAGGCAGCAGUGAGGAAUAUUGGUCAAUGGACGCAAGUCUGAACCAGCCAUGCCGCGUGCAGGAAGAAUGCCCUAUGGGUUGUAAACUGCUUUUAUUUAGGAAGAAACCCCCGAACGUGUUCGGGGCUGACGGUACUAAACGAAUAAGGACCGGCUAACUCCGUGCCAGCAGCCGCGGUAAUACGGAGGGGGUUAGCGUUGUUCGGAAUUACUGGGCGUAAAGCGCGCGUAGGCGGAUUAGAAAGUUGGGGGUGAAAUCCCGGGGCUCAACCCCGGAACUGCCUCCAAAACUGCUAGUCUAGAGUUCGAGAGAGGUGAGUGGAAUUCCGAGUGUAGAGGUGAAAUUCGUAGAUAUUCGGAGGAACACCAGUGGCGAAGGCGGCUCACUGGCUCGAUACUGACGCUGAGGUGCGAAAGUGUGGGGAGCAAACAGGAUUAGAUACCCUGGUAGUCCACACCGUAAACGAUGAAUGCCAGUCGUCGGAGCGCUUGCUCUUCGGUGACACACCUAACGGAUUAAGCAUUCCGCCUGGGGAGUACGGUCGCAAGAUUAAAACUCA